AGUGAACGCUGGCGGUAGGCCUAACACAUGCAAGUCGAACGGCAGCACAGUAAGAGCUUGCUCUUACGGGUGGCGAGUGGCGGACGGGUGAGGAAUACAUCGGAAUCUACUUUUUCGUGGGGGAUAACGUAGGGAAACUUACGCUAAUACCGCAUACGACCUACGGGUGAAAGCAGGGGAUCUUCGGACCUUGCGCGAUUGAAUGAGCCGAUGUCGGAUUAGCUAGUUGGCGGGGUAAAGGCCCACCAAGGCGACGAUCCGUAGCUGGUCUGAGAGGAUGAUCAGCCACACUGGAACUGAGACACGGUCCAGACUCCUACGGGAGGCAGCAGUGGGGAAUAUUGGACAAUGGGCGCAAGCCUGAUCCAGCCAUACCGCGUGGGUGAAGAAGGCCUUCGGGUUGUAAAGCCCUUUUGUUGGGAAAGAAAAGCAGCAGGUUAAUACCCCGCUGUUCUGACGGGACCCAAAGAAUAAGCACCGGCUAACUUCGUG
rnacentral:rRNA from 1 species